CGGCCCAGACUCUACGGGAGGCAGCAGUGGGGAAUAUUGCACAAUGGGCGCAAGCUGAUGCAGCGACGCCGCGUGAGGGAUGACGGCUUUCGGGUUGUAAACCUCUUUCAGUAGGGAAGAAGCGUAAGUGACGGUACCUGCAGAAGAAGCGCCGGCUAACUACGUGCCAGCAGCCGCGGUAAUACGUAGGGCGCGAGCGUUAUCCGGAAUUAUUGGGCGUAAAGAGCUCGUAGGCGGUUUGUCGCGUCUGCCGUGAAAGUCCGGGGCUCAACUCCGGAUCUGCGGUGGGUACGGGCAGACUAGAGUGAUGUAGGGGAGACUGGAAUUCCUGGUGUAGCGGUGAAAUGCGCAGAUAUCAGGAGGAACACCGAUGGCGAAGGCAGGUCUCUGGGCAUUAACUGACGCUGAGGAGCGAAAGCAUGGGGAGCGAACAGGAUUAGAUACCCUGGUAGUCCAUGCCGUAAACGUUGGGCACUAGGUGUGGGGGACAUUCCACGUUUUCCGCGCCGUAGCUAACGCAUUAAGUGCCCCGCCUGGGGAGUACGGCCGCAAGGCUAAAACUCAAAGGAAUUGACGGGGGCCCGCACAAGCGGCGGAGCAUGCGGAUUAAUUCGAUGCAACGCGAAGAACCUUACCAAGGCUUGACAUGGACCAGACCGGACUGGAAACAGUUCUUCCACUUGUGGCUGGUUUACAGGUGGUGCAUGGUUGUCGUCAGCUCGUGUCGUGAGAUGUUGGGUUAAGUCCCGCAACGAGCGCAACCCUCGUUCUAUGUUGCCAGCACGUGAUGGUGGGGACUCAUAGGAGACUGCCGGGGUCAACUCGGAGGAAGGUGGGGACGACGUCAAAUCAUCAUGCCCCUUAUGUCUUGGGCUUCACGCAUGCUACAAUGGCCGGUACAAAGGGUUGCGAUACUGUGAGGUGGAGCUAAUCCCAAAAAGCCGGUCUCAGUUCGGAUUGGGGUCUGCAACUCGACCCCAUGAAGUCGGAGUCGCUAGUAAUC
rnacentral:rRNA from 1 species